rnacentral:hammerhead_ribozyme from 1 species
AUCCAGCUGACGAGUCCCAAAUGGGACGAAACAUGCGUAUUGGAU